rnacentral:rRNA from 1 species
UACGGAGGGUGCAAGCGUUAUCCGGAUUCACUGGGUUUAAAGGGUGCGUAGGUGGGUUGGUAAGUCAGUGGUGAAAUCUCCAGGCUUAACUUGGAAACUGCCAUUGAUACUAUCAAUCUUGAAUACCGUGGAGGUCAGCGGAAUAUGUCAUGUAGCGGUGAAAUGCUUAGAUAUGACAUAGAACACCAAUUGCGAAGGCAGCUCACUACACAAAUAUUGACGCUGAGGCACGAAAGCGUGGGGAGCAAACAGG